UACGUAGGGGGCAAGCGUUGUCCGGAUUUAUUGGGCGUAAAGAGCGUGUAGGCGGUUUGGUAGGUCCGUUGUGAAAACUCGAGGCUCAACCUCGAGACGCCGGCGGAAACCAUCAGGCUAGAGUCCGGAAGAGGAGAGUGGAAUUCCUGGUGUAGCGGUGAAAUGCGCAGAUAUCAGGAGGAACACCGGUGGCGAAGGCGGGUCUCUGGGCCGAUACUGACGCUGAGGAGCGAAAGCGUGGGGAGCGAACAGG
rnacentral:rRNA from 1 species